rnacentral:rRNA from 1 species
GACGAACGCUGGCGGCGUGCCUAAUACAUGCAAGUUGAGCGCUGAAGGUUGGUACUUGUACCGACUGGAUGAGCAGCGAACGGGUGAGUAACGCGUGGGGAAUCUGCCUUUGAGCGGGGGACAACAUUUGGAAACGAAUGCUAAUACCGCAUAAAAACUUUAAACACAAGUUUUAAGUUUGAAAGAUGCAAUUGCAUCACUCAAAGAUGAUCCCGCGUUGUAUUAGCUAGUUGGUGAGGUAAAGGCUCACCAAGGCGAUGAUACAUAGCCAACCUGAGAGGGUGAUCGGCCACAUUGGGACUGAGACACGGCCCAAACUCCUACGGGAGGCAGCAGUAGGGAAUCUUCGGCAAUGGACGAAAGUCUGACCGAGCAACGCCGCGUGAGUGAAGAAGGUUUUCGGAUCGUAAAACUCUGUUGGUAGAGAAGAACGUUGGUGAGAGUGGAAAGCUCAUCAAGUGACGGUAACUACCCAGAAAGGGACGGCUAACUACGUG